ACUAUUUUGGCAGAUUAGUGCAAUAAAUUUAGAAUUUAUAUAUAUAUAUAUAGUUAUAAAUAGUA
rnacentral:tRNA from 1 species